GCCUCGGUGGUGCAGUGGUGGAGCACGCCAUCCCUGAUUAGGAUGAAACACGGGUUCGUGAUUUCCGCCUGAAGCC